rnacentral:siRNA from 1 species
AGACGAACUGAGUAUUUGAGUGAC